rnacentral:lncRNA from 1 species
CCAUCCAUUUUUUAUCCAUCAUAAACCUCUUGCUAGGGUUCAUCUCAUCUCGCACCAUAUCCCUAACAAACCAAAAUGAAAAAAGGUCCUUCAUGUAUUCAGAACAUAUCAUGUCAUUUCAUUUGCAUUCAGGGACAAAAUUCAGGUUUCUUUUAUUUAAAUAUCUUUCACUAGGAUGCUAUGAGGAUUUUCAUCGCUCUUACCAUUUGGAAAAGCUAUUUAAAUCGGGGUGAUUGUCAUACCCCAAUUUUGACCCCGAAUUAUUGAAUUGACGCAUUCAUCAU